CCAGACUCCUACGGGAGGCAGCAGUGAGGAAUAUUGGUCAAUGGGCGGGAGCCUGAACCAGCCAAGUCGCGUGAGGGAAGACGGUCCUAUGGAUUGUAAACCUCUUUAGGCGGGGAGCAAUGCCGGGCACGCGUGCCCGGAGGGAGAGUACCCGCAGAAUAAGCAUCGGCUAACUCCGUGCCAGCAGCCGCGGUAAUACGGAGGAUGCGAGCGUUAUCCGGAUUUAUUGGGUUUAAAGGGUGCGUAGGCGGGAGAUCAAGUCAGCGGUAAAAAGGCGGGGCCCAACCCCGUCGAGCCGUUGAAACUGGUUUUCUUGAGUGGGCGAGAGGUAUGCGGAAUGCGUGGUGUAGCGGUGAAAUGCAUAGAUAUCACGCAGAACCCCGAUUGCGAAGGCAGCAUACCGGCGCCCAACUGACGCUGAGGCACGAAAGCGUGGGUAUCGAACAGGAUUAGAUACCCGAGUAU
rnacentral:rRNA from 1 species